UGGAUUCACAUAUAAUUUCGAUAAACUACGGGGAAGGGACGUAAUUUCCCUUUUGUUUUUGGAACUCGGAGAAAAGUUUAGAAAGAGAAGCGAUUUAUAACUUACGGGGGACAGAGCAGAGCCAGAGCAGAGGGAAAACCGCAAAGAGAGAAGAAGAGGAUUAGAGGAAGGGCGGGAAGCAACGAUGCCGGGACUGGGUAGACACUUACUGAAGAGAAUCUCAUUCAAACAGCGUAGUGGGUCCUGCGGAUAUUCUACCAGGAAGUUGGUCAAUGUGGGGCAGCCAACUGCUGCAUCUCACCCUCAGUUGGUAAAGAAAGGAGAGAUUAUGCCUGGCAUCACUGGUGAUGAGUACAUCUCAAGAAGGAAACAAUUGCUGGAGCUUCUUCCAGAAAAGAGUUUAGCCAUUAUUGCGGCUGCUCCUGUAAAAAUGAUGACUGAUGUUGUGCCUUAUACAUUCAGACAGGAUGCUGAUUAUUUGUUUAUCACCGGUUGCCAACAACCUGGUGGUAUAGCUGUCCUAGGUCAGGAAUGUGGAUUAUGCAUGUUUAUGCCAGAUCUAGAUCCUCACGAUGUCAUUUGGCAAGGAGAAAUUGCUGGAGUUGAUGCGGCUUUGAGCACAUUCAAGGCUGAGCAGGCGUUCUCUAUAAGUGAAAUGCGUAAGAUUCUUCCAACAAUGAUCCAAAGAUCGUCCAAAUUGUUCCAUAAUGUGAAAACAGCUUCGCCAGCUUAUAUGGACUUGGAGGCCUUGCGCAGUGCAGCUUUCAGUGGAAAAAUGAAAGAUCUUUCUGCUUAUACCCAUGAAUUGAGGUGGAUGAAAUCACCAUCAGAAAUUAGGCUGAUGAGAGAAUCUGCUUCAAUUGCUUGCCAGGCUCUUUUACAGACCAUGAUCCUAUCAAAAACAUUAGCUGAUGAGGGCAUGCUAUCAGCUAAGUUUGAAUAUGAAUGCAGGAUGAGAGGUGCUCAAAGAAUGGCGUUCAAUCCAGUUGUUGGUGGUGGACCGAAUGGUAGUGUUAUACACUAUUCUCGAAACGAUCAGAAAAUCAAAGAUGGCGACCUUGUUCUAAUGGAUGUUGGUUGUGAGUUGCAUGGUUAUGUCAGCGAUAUGACUCGGACCUGGCCACCCUGUGGCAGCUUUUCAUCAGCUCAAGAAGAGCUAUAUGAUCUAAUUCUGGAGGUGAACAAGGAAUGUGUGAAGCUUUGCCAACCUGGUACGAGUAUUCAGCAGAUACAUAACCAUUCGGUUGAAAUGCUGCAAAGAGGACUUAAAGAAAUGGGAAUCUUGAAAGAUGAGCGAAGAACCUCUCAAACUUAUCAUCAGCUGAACCCAACUUCUAUAGGUCAUUAUCUAGGAAUGGAUGUUCAUGACUGUUCCAUGGUUAGCAAUGACCGUUCUUUGAAGCCAGGUGUUGUAAUAACUAUUGAACCGGGAGUUUAUAUCCCAAAUUCUUUUGAUGGUCCAGAGAGAUACCAAGGCAUUGGCAUAAGGAUAGAAGAUGAAGUCCUUAUUACUGAAACUGGGCAUGAGGUUCUUACAGGGUCAAUGCCCAAAGAGAUACAACACAUGAAGUCCUUGCUAAAUAAUUAUAGCUGCAACAAAGGGAUGGAAGCCCAUAGUCAUAUGAGAGCCGCAUCCAGUUGAAGAUCCCAUGGUACUUCACAGUGGCAAGCCAGAUGAUUUUCUUUUUGCCUUUUCCUUUUUGAAGUUUCUCUUUGGUUUCAAAUCCAACAGAAAAGGAUGAUUUUACCAGGUUCUACCGUAAUCUAUGCAUGAGUCGGUUACAGGAAUUGCAGAUUUGCAGCAGAAGCAGAAGUGAAAGAUCAUCAGGCGGCUGUGUCUGGCAAAACACCUUAGUUUCAAGAAAAAACAACAAUCUACAGGGAUUGCCUCGAGUCAGUAAACAGUUUUGAGGGAGAGGGUUCUCUGAUCAAGCCGGGUUCACAACCCUCUCACAUUUGUUUAUUUAAUUCAUUUUAAUCUCUCCUUAAAACAAUUGAUACAAUAUUGAAUGUGAAGAGGCGCAGCGUACGCCAUAGCCUCUGCGAGACUUUUCCUACAGUUUAAAUACUAAUGACCAUGGAGGAUGGGAUGGGAGGUUAUUCUCUUUUGUAUCAUUUGUACUGUAGCAUUAAGGAGUUUGGUACUUUCUCUAUUUCCACCCUAACUGAAGUGUGCAAUGGAUGGCUAUUCACCAUUUCCUG